CGCUAUCACUCCUACGGGAGGCAGCAGUGGGGAAUAUUGCACAAUGGGCGCAAGCCUGAUGCAGCCAUGCCGCGUGUAUGAAGAAGGCCUUCGGGUUGUAAAGUACUUUCAGCAGUGAGGAAGGUGGUGCAGUUAAUAGCUGUAUCAUUUGACGUUAGCUGCAGAAGAAGCACCGGCUAACUCCGUGCCAGCAGCCGCGGUAAUACGGAGGGUGCGAGCGUUAAUCGGAAUUACUGGGCGUAAAGCGCAUGCAGGUGGUUUGUUAAGUCAGAUGUGAAAGCCCGGGGCUCAACCUCGGAAUUGCAUUUGAAACUGGCAGACUAGAGUACUGUAGAGGGGGUAGAAUUUCAGGUGUAGCGGUGAAAUGCGUAGAGAUCUGAAGGAAUACCAGUGGCGAAGGCGGCCCCCUGGACAAAGACUGACGCUCAGAUGCGAAAGCGUGGGGAGCAAACAGGAUUAGAUACCCUGGUAG
rnacentral:rRNA from 1 species